CGUUGAAAAGUUGGGGGAUGAGGUAGGUUUAGGGGUGAAAAGCCAAUCGAACCAGGAGAUAGCUCGUUCUCUCCGAAAUGCAUCUAGGUGCAGCCUUGAGUGUUCAAUUAUGGGGGUAGAGCACUGAAUGAUCUAGGGGGCAUAUUGCUUACUGAAAUCAAUCAAACUCCGAAUACCAUAAUUUAUAGCUCAGGAGUGAGACUAUGGGAGUUAACUUCCAUUGUCAAAAGGGAAACAACCCAGACCACCAGCUAAGGUCCCUAAUUAUAACUAAGUGGGAAAGGAGGUGGAGAUUCACAAACAACUAGGAGGUUGGCUUAGAAGCAGCCAUACCUUUAAAGAGUGCGUAAUAGCUCACUAGUCGAGAGUCUCUGCGCCGACAAUGUAACGGGGCUAAGUUAUAAACCGAAGCUGUGGAAUCCUUUUGGAUUGGUAGGAGAGCGUUCUGUAGGCCGUUGAAGAAGAAGGGUAACCGACUUUGGAGGUAUCAGAAGUGAGAAUGCAGGAAUAAGUAGCGAGAAAGGGGGCGAGAAUCCCCCUCGCCGGAAGACCAAGGUUUUCAGGGUAAAGCUUGUCUUCCCUGAGUAAGCCGGGACCUAAGCCCAGGCUAUAAUGCGUAGGCGAAUGGAAAACAGAUUAAUAUUUCUGUGCCAGUCAUUUAUUGUGAUGGAGGGACGCAGAAGGGUAUGCGCGCGGACGAACGGAAGUGUCCGUAGAAGUAUGUAGGGUGACUUAGUAGGUAAAUCCAUUAAGUUAUAUCUGAGGUAUGAUAUACAGUCGUAAGAUGAAUGCGCAAAUCCCACGCUGCCAAGAAAAGCUUCUAACGUUAAUAUAUGACUGCCCGUACUGUAAACCGACACAGGUGGUCAGGAUGAGAAAUCUAAGGCGGACAGGCUAACUCUCGUUAAGGAACUCUGCAAAAUAACCUCGUAACUUCGGGAGAAGAGGAGCCCUUGGGUGUUAGUAUCCAUGCGAUACAAAGCGCUCGAGGGUCGCAGUGAAGAGGCUCAAGCAACUGUUUAACAAAAACACAGGUCUAUGCUAAGCUGGAAGGCGAUGUAUAUGGGCUGACACCUGCCCAGUGCUGGAAGGUUAAGAGGAGGAGUGAGAGCUCCGAAUUGAAGCCCCAGUGAACGGCGGCCGUAACUAUAACGGUCCUAAGGUAGCGAAAUUCCUUGUCGGGUAAGUUCCGACCUGCACGAAUGGUGUAAUGAUUUGAGCGCUGUCUUGACGGGAGGCCUGGUGAAAUUGUAUUACCGGUGAAGAUACCGGUUACCUACAGUAGGACGGAAAGACCCCAUGGAGCUUUACUGUAGCUUGGUAUUGGGUUUUGGCAUUGCAUGUAUAGGAUAGUUGGGAGACUAUGAUGAUAUGGCGCUAGCUGUAUCGGAGUCAUCGGUGGAAUACCAACCAUUCAAUGCUGAAAUUCUAAUCUGUGGUUUGUAGCCACGGAGACAGUGCUAGGUGGGCAGUUUGACUGGGGCGGUCGCCUCCGAAAGAGUAACGGAGGCGUUCAAAGGUUCUCUCAGGUUGGAUGGAAAUCAACCAUAGAGUGCAAUGGCAUAAGAGAGCUUGACUGCAAGACUGACGGGUCGAGCAGAUGCGAAAGCAGGACAUAGUGAUCCGGCGAUUCCGAAUGGAAGGGUCGUCGCUCAACGGAUAAAAGCUACCCUGGGGAUAACAGGCUGAUCCUACCCGAGAGUCCAUAUCGACGGUAGGGUUUGGCACCUCGAUGUCGGCUCAUCGCAUCCUGGGGCUGGAGAAGGUCCCAAGGGUUGGGCUGUUCGCCCAUUAAAGCGGUACGUGAGCUGGGUUCAGAACGUCGUGAGACAGUUCGGUCCCUAUCCACUGUAGGCGUUAGAAUAUUGAGAAGACCUGUCCUUAGUACGAGAGGACCGGGAUGGACAAACCUCUGAUGUACCAGUUGUCACGCCAGUGGCACAGCUGGGUAGUCACGUUUGGAAUAGAUAACCGCUGAAAGCAUCUAAGCGGGAAACUAACUUCAAGAUAAGUAUUCU
rnacentral:rRNA from 1 species